GUCCGAGCUAACAGAGAGGAAUGUGGUACUGCUCCAUGAGCAGUUUUAGAUCCCUCAGGCAUUCCAAUUGAAAAUUUCGGAGCCGAACGAUCGAGUUUGCCAACUCCUCCAGGCUGGAUGAGCCUCUAUGAGGAGUGUUUCCGGGCUGGGCUGCGGUUUCCUCUUCAUCUCUUUUCGUAACACUUUUGCAAUUUCUCGAGAUGUCGCCAUGCACGGUAGUUCCGAAUUCAUGGUAGCAUAUAUGCGGUUUUACUGUAGUAUGCGUAUUGGUUGAGAUUGAUCCCAGUGUCGCACUUAUCCGUUCUUUCUUCAGCCUCAAGAGGCAUCUUGGAUCACGUGGGUGGUGGUAUGUGAUGCCACGAAAGAAGAAAAAUGUUUGUCCGUAGAUCCAGGAUGCCCCUUCCGCUGUCCAUGGCUGGUAUCUAUUGCUGCUUGUUUCGGCUGAAGUCAGAAGACGAACAGCUGAGCCUUGCGCAGUGGUGCGGGAGGGACUUGCAAAACAAAGUCUGGGUCGGAGAUUUUCACUCCGACGAGGAUCCUCCGACACUCAAGUCAGGAAUCAAAGAACAAUGGAAGCAGCAACUGAUUCUCUGAGAGGGGUUAUUUACCUGGGUCCUUGGGGCUUUAGUUAUUUAUAGAGGAUAUGGCUGAACAACUAUGGGAACAUACGGUUCUGAGGUUGUUGGGCUGUUGGACGUGCUGUUAGUGGACGAGAUAUUCUAGCCCUUAUUUGCUCCCGUGAGAUGUGAGUAGUUAUGUUUGAACUUAUCCACUUAAGAUGAACAGCUAUUGCACGUAUUAGGAAAUUGACUGUCUGAGAUAACGAAGGAAGCUCGUGUGCCAGAUGGGCCGCACAUCAGACUGGAUAUAAAUAGCUCAGCUCCAUAUACCUCAGCUCGGUGC
rnacentral:lncRNA from 1 species